CCUGGCUUCUCGCUGCCCCUGGUAGCGUUUAGUGGCAGCUCUCCCUCUGCACUGCAUUCAACGGGGUGGCCACCAGUCCCACGUGAUUACUGUUGCUUCUCUGAAUUAAGGUGGAGUCUCUCAGGAGCAGCUCAAAGCCAGCAGCAUGGCUCAGCUGGUAAAGUUGCUUGCUUGCACUGCAAGCCUGACAACCUGAGUUCAAAUCCUGGGACCCACCUGACUUCAGGUGGAAAGAGAGAACUGAUUCCUCAAAGUUACCCUCUUACCUCCACACACAUUGUUGUAUCCUCCUCCCAACACACACACAUCACAAAAAUAAAAUUUUUUUAAGCCAACUGGGCUUGUCCACUA